GACGAACGCUGGCGGCGUGCUUAACACAUGCAAGUCGAACGGUAAGGCUCCAGCUUGCUGGGGUACACGAGUGGCGAACGGGUGAGUAACACGUGGGUGACCUGCCCUGCACUUCGGGAUAAGCCUGGGAAACUGGGUCUAAUACCGGAUAGGACCGCACCGUGAGGGUGUGGUGGAAAGUUUUUUCGGUGUGGGAUGGGCCCGCGGCCUAUCAGCUUGUUGGUGGGGUAAUGGCCUACCAAGGCGGCGACGGGUAGCCGGCCUGAGAGGGUGGACGGCCACAUUGGGACUGAGACACGGCCCAGACUCCUACGGGAGGCAGCAGUGGGGAAUAUUGCACAAUGGGCGGAAGCCUGAUGCAGCGACGUCGCGUGGGGGAUGACGGCCUUCGGGUUGUAAACUCCUUUCACCAUCGACGAAGGGUUUCUGACGGUAGAUGGAGAAGAAGCACCGGCUAACUACGUGCCAGCAGCCGCGGUAAUACGUAGGGUGCGAGUGUUGUCCGGAAUUACUGGGCGUAAAGAGCUCGUAGGUGGUUUGUCGCGUCGUCUGUGAAAUUCCGGGGCUUAACUCCGGGCGUGCAGGCGAUACGGGCAUAACUUGAGUACUGUAGGGGAGACUGGAAUUCCUGGUGUAGCGGUGAAAUGCGCAGAUAUCAGGAGGAACACCGGUGGCGAAGGCGGGUCUCUGGGCAGUAACUGACGCUGAGGAGCGAAAGCAUGGGGAGCGAACAGGAUUAGAUACCCUGGUAGUCCAUGCCGUAAACGGUGGGCGCUAGGUGUGGGUUUCCUUCCACGGGAUCCGUGCCGUAGCUAACGCAUUAAGCGCCCCGCCUGGGGAGUACGGCCGCAAGGCUAAAACUCAAAGGAAUUGACGGGGGCCCGCACAAGCGGCGGAGCAUGUGGAUUAAUUCGAUGCAACGCGAAGAACCUUACCUGGGCUUGACAUAUACAGGAUCGCGCCAGAGAUGGUGUUUCCCUUGUGGCUUGUAUACAGGUGGUGCAUGGUUGUCGUCAGCUCGUGUCGUGAGAUGUUGGGUUAAGUCCCGCAACGAGCGCAACCCUUGUCUUAUGUUGCCAGCACGUUGUGGUGGGGACUCGUAAGAAACUGCCGGGGUUAACUCGGAGGAAGGUGGGGAUGACGUCAAAUCAUCAUGCCCCUUAUGUCCAGGGCUUCACACAUGCUACAAUGGUCGGUACAGUGGGUUGCCAGUCCGUGAGGGCGAGCUAAUCCCGCAAAGCCGGUCUCAGUUCGGAUCGGGGUCUGCAACUCGACCCCGUGAAGUCGGAGUCGCUAGUAAUCGCAGAUCAGCAACGCUGCGGUGAAUACGUUCCCGGGCCU
rnacentral:rRNA from 1 species